rnacentral:miRNA from 1 species
CUUUCUUGUGAAGUUGGAGCACAGGAGCUGGUGCCAGUGUGAUGCCUACAUCGACUUUUGUGCUCCAGCUUUGGAAGGAAGGA